rnacentral:rRNA from 1 species
CCUACGGGUGGCUGCAGUGGGGAAUAUUGCACAAUGGGGGAAACCCUGAUGCAGCGACGCCGCGUGAGUGAAGAAGGAAUUCGUUACGUAAAGCUCUAUCAGCAGGGAAGAAACACUGACCGUACGGUCAGCAGACGGUACCGGAGUAAGAAGCCCCGGCUAACGACGUGCCAGCAGCCGCGGUAAUACGUAGGGGGCAAGCGUUAUCCGGAUUUAUUGGGUGUAAAGGGAGCGUAGACGGUGCGCCAAGUCUGGAGUGAAAGGCCGCCGCUUAACGGCGGAACUGCUUUGGAAACUGGCGACCUAGAGUGCGUGAGUGGUAAGCGGCAUUCCUAGUGUAGCCGUGAAAUGCGUAGAUAUUAGGAG